AUCAAGACAACAACUAUAAUCGAGGUGAGAAAAAAAAAACACCUUGAUUCUUCCAAAACGUCGGUGACCAAAAAACGAUCCAAAUCGCCAUCUCCAUUUUUUCCGAUCGAAGAAAGCAAAACACCAGAAACGAUGUAUUGAGAGGAUUAAGAUCUAAUCCACCGAGAAAGAGAUCUUUUAAACAAACAUCUUCUUCACAAACGCUUCGCAGAUCUGCUUAAUUAGGGUUGUUUGAAGGUUUCACAAAAGCAUCCGAUUCAUACUCUACCACAGAUCGAUAUUAUAACUACAAUGGUGACAAAGAAUAUCCAAAACAGAGUCUACGGUUUGAGGGUGUCUAGGUACCCUGAACAGAGUAAUCAAUCUCGAGUUAGAAGAUCAGACUACGCUUUUCCCUUUACUUGUGAGAAUGAUCAAGAGAAGACAUGAUGUGGCGUUUGAGGAACUUAUUUAAAUAUAUCAUGCACCAACAUUGAGAAGAUAAGAUGACGCAUACACUCAUCCAGAACGGUGAAAAGCGUUUUGAGAGUUCCAAUUCAUGAUCAAUGAUGAAGAUAGGACAUUGAUAGAAGAUAAAAUAGAAAAUCGAUAGGUACUCAGACUGUGCUUUUCCAUUGCCUUCUCAGGAGUAAAACUGGUGUGGCUUUGAAGACCUUAUUUAUAUAUAUCAUGAAACAACAUUGAGAAGAUAAGUUAUUGUCUAAAAAAAAUCAAAUUAUCCACUCCCGUUUUAAAUUGUAAAAAUAUAUUGAUCCUGGGUGAUGAAUUUGGUUACAGGUUGACGCAUAAACUCAUCCAAUACGGCGAAAAGCGUUUUGACAGUCCGUUGAAGAAAUAUAAAACAGGACUCACUAUCAGUUAUGCCAUGCGAGACAUGAUACAAUCAAAAGUAAGCUGUGCCGUGUGUAGAUAUUGGAUUCGGCAUAUGACCAGCUGGUGACUGAUAUCCAUCUGCGACCUUAUUCUGAGAGAUGUUUUGAAGAUCUCCUAAGAUCCUUCGAAAAAUUGAUGUCAAAGUGAACUGCAUUUGGAGGAGGCAUAGCUAUGGAUCGUUUCAGAGAGUUGUCCGAAUCACUAUUGAAAGAUAUGAAGGACUUUGACCUGGACCCACCAUUCAUGUUUGUAAGGCUUGAUGUUAGACAGGUUGGUCGAGUGAGAGAUUUGGUAUGUGAUGGAAAACUGAUGUCAUGACUCUGGAGGUUUCCCUUUUAUGCUUCAAUGGAUAUACAUACUUUACAGGUUGUACGGCAUACUAUUGAAACAUAUAAAAGAGGAGUCAAUAUCAGUAAUGCCUUGCGACAUGAUCCAAUCAAAAAUAAGCCAUGGCUGGUGUGUCUGUAAGUUCCAGAUGGUAGACUUAAGCGAAAGUUAGUAAUAACUAUCCACUCUCCAACACGACAAUGCAUCUGGAAUCGCUGCAAUAAUGAACUAUUGCAACUGGCCUGGAUUUUAACACCCUAUAUCAUGUAACAAACAAAAAUGUUGAAUUUCAGAUAUUUUUAAAAAAUUAUUUAGAGUUGUCGAUUUA